rnacentral:rRNA from 1 species
AACGUAGGUGGCAAGCGUUAUCCGGAUUUACUGGGCGUAAAGCGCACGUAGGCGGUGAUGCAAGUUGGAUGUGAAAGUCCUGGGCUUAACCUAGGGAUUGCAUCCAAAACUACAUGACUAGAGUAGUGUAGAGGGAGGUAGAAUUUCCGGUGUAGCGGUGAAAUGCGUAGAUAUCGAGAGGAACACCUGCGGCGAAGGCGGGUUGCUGGGCUGACACUGACGCUGAAGUGCGAAAGCUAGGGGAGCGAACGGG